rnacentral:rRNA from 2 species
GACGGGGACCCGCACAAGCAGCGGAGCAUGUGGUUUAAUUCGAAGCAACGCGAAGAACCUUACCAGGGCUUGACAUCCCUCUGACAGUCCCUUAACCGGGACCUUCUUCGGACAGAGGAGACAGGUGGUGCAUGGUUGUCGUCAGCUCGUGUCGUGAGAUGUUGGGUUAAGUCCCGCAACGAGCGCAACCCUUGUCUUUAGUUGCCAUCAUUCAGUUGGGCACUCUAGAGAGACUGCCGAGGACAACUCGGAGGAAGGUGGGGAUGACGUCAAAUCAUCAUGCCCCUUAUGUUCUGGGCUACACACGUGCUACAAUGGCCGGUACAGACGGAGGCGAAGCCGCGAGGCGGAGCAAAUCCGAAAAAGCCGGUCUCAGUUCGGAUUGCAGUCUGCAACUCGACUGCAUGAAGUUGGAAUCGCUAGUAAUCGUGGAUCAGCCAAGCCGCGGUGAAUACGUUCCCGGGCCUU